CAAGUGAACGCGAAAGCCUCCUUCGGGGGGCAAGUAGAGUGGCGCACGGGUGAGUAACACGUAGGUAAUCUACCUUUGGAUUGGGAAUAACAACCGGAAACGGUUGCUAAUACCGAAUAAUGCAGCGGCACCUAAUGGUGACAGUUGUUAAAGCGGGGGAUCGCAAGACCUCGCGUCUGAAGAGGAGCCUGCGGCGGAUUAGCUAGUUGGUAAGGUAACGGCUUACCAAGGCGAUGAUCCGUAGCCGGCCUGAGAGGGCGGUCGGCCACACUGACACUGACAUACGGGUCAGACUCCUACGGGGGGCAGCAGUCGGGAAUUUUGGGCAAUGGGCGAAAGCCUGACCCAGCAACGCCGCGUGAAGGAUGAAAUCCUUCGGGAUGUAAACUUCGCAAGAACGGGAAGAAUAAGUAAGGGUUAAUAUCUCUUACGAUGACGGUACUGUUUGUAAGCUCCGGCUAACUCCGUGCCAGCAGCCGCGGUAAUACGGGGGGAGCAAGCGUUGUUCGGAUUUACUGGGCGUAAAGGGCGCGUAGGCGGCCUCCGCAAGUCGACUGUGAAAUCUCCGGGCUUAACCCGGAAAGGUCAGCCGAAACUGCGGGGCUAGAGUGCAGAAGGGGCAACUGGAAUUCUCGGUGUAGCGGUGAAAUGCGUAGAUAUCGAGAGGAACACCUGCGGCGAAGGCGGGUUGCUGGGCUGACACUGACGCUGAAGCGCGAAAGCUAGGGGAGCGAACGGGAUUAGAUACCCCGGUAGUCCUAGCCUUAAACGAUGAAUGCUUGGUGUCUGGGGUUUUAUAGUCCCCGGGUGCCGUCGCUAACGCUUUAAGCAUUCCGCCUGGGGAGUACGGUCGCAAGACUGAAACUCAAAGGAAUUGACGGGGACCCGCACAAGCGGUGGAGCAUGUGGUUUAAUUC
rnacentral:rRNA from 1 species